rnacentral:rRNA from 1 species
UGGGGAAUAUUGGACAAUGGAGGAAACUCUGAUCCAGCAAUUCUGUGUGUGUGAAGAAGGUUUUAGGACUGUAAAACACUUUUAGUAGGGAAGAAAAAAAUGACGGUACCUACAGAAGAAGCAACGGCUAAAUACGUGCCAGCAGCCGCGGUAAUACGUAUGUUGCGAGCGUUAUCCGGAAUUAUUGGGCUUAAAGGGCAUCUAGGCGGUAAGACAAGUUGAAGGUGAAAACCUGUGGCUCAACCAUAGGCUUGCCUACAAAACUGUUGAACUAGAGUACUGGAAAGGUGGGUGGAACUACACGAGUAGAGGUGAAAUUCGUAGAUAUGUGUAGGAAUGCCGAUGAUGAAGAUAACUCACUGGCCAGAAACUGACGCUGAAGUGCGAAAGCUAGGGGGGCAAACAGG